UAGGGAAUCUUCCACAAUGGACGCAAGUCUGAUGGAGCAACGCCGCGUGAGUGAAGAAGGUUUUCGGACCGUAAAGCUCUGUUGUUGGUGAAGAAGGAUAGAGGUAGUAACUGGCCUUUAUUUGACGGUAAUCAACCAGAAAGUCACGGCUAACUACGUGCCAGCAGCCGCGGUAAUACGUAGGUGGCAAGCGUUGUCCGGAUUUAUUGGGCGUAAAGCGAGCGCAGGCGGAAGAAUAAGUCUGAUGUGAAAGCCCUCGGCUUAACCGAGGAAUUGCAUCGGAAACUGUUUUCUUGAGUGCAGAAGAGGAGAGUAGAACUCCAUGUGUAGCGGUGGAAUGCGUAGAUAUAUGGAAGAAUACCAGUGGCGAAGGCGGCUCUCUGGUCUGCAACUGACGCUGAGGCUCGAAAGCAUGGGUAGCGAACAGGAUUAGAUACCCUGGUAGUCCAUGCCGUAAACGAUGAGUGCUAAGUGUUGGGAGGCUUCCGCCUCUCAGUGCUGCAGCUAACGCAUUAAGCACUCCGCCUGGGGGAGUACAACCGCAAGGUUGAAAC
rnacentral:rRNA from 1 species